rnacentral:rRNA from 1 species
GACGAACGCUGUUGGCGUGCUUAACACAUGCAAGUCGAACGGAAAGGCCCUGCUUUUGUGGGGUGCUCGAGUGGCGAACGGGUGAGUAACACGUGAGUAACCUGCCCUUGACUUUGGGAUAACUUCAGGAAACUGGGGCUAAUACCGGAUAGGAGCUCCUGCUGCAUGGUGGGGGUUGGAAAGUUUCGGCGGUUGGGGAUGGACUCGCGGCUUAUCAGCUUGUUGGUGGGGUAGUGGCUUACCAAGGCUUUGACGGGUAGCCGGCCUGAGAGGGUGACCGGCCACAUUGGGACUGAUAUACGGCCCAGACUCCUACGGGAGGCAGCAGUGGGGAAUAUUGCACAAUGGGCGGAAGCCUGAUGCAACAACGCCGCGUGCGGGAUGACGGCCUUCGGGUUGUAAACCGCUUUCGCCUGUGACGAAGCGUGAGUGACGGUAAUGGGUAAAGAAGCACCGGCUAACUACGUGCCAGCAGCCGCGGUGAUACGUAGGGUGCGAGCGUUGUCCGGAUUUAUUGGGCGUAAAGGGCUCGUAGGUGGUUGAUCGCGUCGGAAGUGUAAUCUUGGGGCUUAACCCUGAGCGUGCUUUCGAUACGGGUUGACUUGAGGAAGGUAGGGGAGAAUGGAAUUCCUGGUGGAGCGGUGGAAUGCGCAGAUAUCAGGAGGAACACCAGUGGCGAAGGCGGUUCUCUGGGCCUUUCCUGACGCUGAGGAGCGAAAGCGUGGGGAGCGAACAGGCUUAGAUACCCUGGUAGUCCACGCUGUAAACGGUGGGUACUAGGUGUGGGGUCCAUUCCACGGGUUCCGUGCCGUAGCUAACGCUUUAAGUACCCCGCCUGGGGAGUACGGCCGCAAGGCUAAAACUCAAAGGAAUUGACGGGGCCCCGCACAAGCGGCGGAGCAUGCGGAUUAAUUCGAUGCAACGCGUAGAACCUUACCUGGGUUUGACAUGGAUCGGGAGUGCUCAGAGAUGGGUGUGCCUCUUUUGGGGUCGGUUCACAGGUGGUGCAUGGCUGUCGUCAGCUCGUGUCGUGAGAUGUUGGGUUAAGUCCCGCAACGAGCGCAACCCUUGUUCACUGUUGCCAGCACGUUAUGGUGGGGACUCAGUGGAGACCCCCGGGGUCAACUCGGAGGAAGGUGGGGAUGACGUCAAGUCAUCAUCCCCCUUAUGUCCAGGGCUUCACGCAUGCUACAAUGGCUGGUACAGAGAGUGGCGAGCCUGUGAGGGUGAGCGAAUCUCGGAAAGCCGGUCUCAGUUCGGAUUGGGGUCUGCAACUCGACCUCAUGAAGUCGGAGUCGCUAGUAAUCGCAGAUCAGCAACGCUGCGGUGAAUACGUUCCCGGGGCU